rnacentral:rRNA from 1 species
CACACCGCCCGUCACACCAUGGGAGUUGGUUCUACCCGAAGGCAGUGCGCCAACCGCAAGGAGGCAGCUGACCACGGUAGGGUCAGCGACUGGGGUG